AACGAACGCUGGCGGCAGGCUUAACACAUGCAAGUCGAACGCCCCGCAAGGGGAGUGGCAGACGGGUGAGUACCGCGUGGGAAUCUACCCAUCCCUACGGAAUAACGCAUGGAAACGUGUGCUAAUACCGUAUACGCCCUACGGGGGAAAGAUUUAUCGGGGAUGGAUGAGCCCGCGUUGGAUUAGCUAGUUGGUGGGGUAAAGGCCUACCAAGGCGACGAUCCAUAGCUGGUCUGAGAGGAUGAUCAGCCACAUUGGGACUGAGACACGGCCCAAACUCCUACGGGAGGCAGCAGUGGGGAAUAUUGGACAAUGGGCGCAAGCCUGAUCCAGCCAUGCCGCGUGAGUGAUGAAGGCCUUAGGGUUGUAAAGCUCUUUCACCGGAGAAGAUAAUGACGGUAUCCGGAGAAGAAGCCCCGGCUAACUUCGUG
rnacentral:rRNA from 1 species